AUGAAAUAUGAAGUUUUAUUAAAAGAAAAAGGGGUGAAAAGAACAAAGUUUUGUCCAUCUUUGUUCAUCAUAGCUGAAAGUUAGAGAAGAGAAAGGAGAGGAGAAAGCUCUUGAGUAUUCGGUCAUUAGGAGGAGGAAAAUUGAAGUUAAGGUUUCAACACCCAUCAUCACCGGCGAUUCACCGUGCCGAACGGAAAGGGGAGCGGCCACGUGGUAGAUCCGGGCAUGGGCAUGGACAAUGGGGUGUGUGAUGGUGCUGGCGGCAGACAGCAUGGGAGAGUGGGAAUGGUGCUGGUGGCAGACAGCAUGGGAGAGUGGGAAGAGGCAAGUGGGAGUCUAGGGUUUUGGAAUUGGGCUUGGAUGUUGGGCUAGGUUAAUUUUAGGUUUUGGGUUUGAGGAUGGGUUAAAUGGUUUAAUGGGCCUGGGUAUUUUGUAAACGGGCCAAAAUUGGCCUACAACA